rnacentral:rRNA from 1 species
GGGUGAGUAACACGUGGAUAACCUACCUAUAAGACUGGGAUAACUUCGGGAAACCGGAGCUAAUACCGGAUAAUAUAUUGAACCGCAUGGUUCAAUAGUGAAAGACGGUUUUGCUGUCACUUAUAGAUGGAUCCGCGCCGCAUUAGCUAGUUGGUAAGUAACGGCUUACCAAGGCAACGAUGCGUAGCCGACCUGAGAGGGUGAUCGGCCACACUGGAACUGAGACACGGUCCAG